UACGAAGGGGGCUAGCGUUGCUCGGAAUCACUGGGCGUAAAGGGCACGUAGGCGGGUUGCUAAGUCAGGGGUGAAAUCCUGGAGCUCAACUCCAGAACUGCCUUUGAUACUGGCGACCUUGAGUCCGGGAGAGGUGAGUGGAACUGCGAGUGUAGAGGUGAAAUUCGUAGAUAUUCGCAAGAACACCAGUGGCGAAGGCGGCUCACUGGCCCGGUACUGACGCUGAGGUGCGAAAGCGUGGGGAGCAAACAGG
rnacentral:rRNA from 1 species